rnacentral:rRNA from 1 species
UACGUAGGGGGGCAAGCGUUGUCCGGAAUUAUUGGGCGUAAAGAGCUCGUAGGCGGUGUGUCACGUCGUUCGUGAAAACCUGCAGCUUAACUGUGGGCGUGCGGUCGAUACGGGCUGGCUGGAGGCAGGCAGGGGAGAACGGGAAUUCCCGGUGUAGCGGUGAAAUGCGCAGAUAUCGGGAGGAACACCGGUGGCGAAGGCGGUUCUCUGGGCCUGUACUGACGCUGAGGAGCGAAAGCGUGGGGAGCGAACAGG